rnacentral:rRNA from 1 species
GACGAACGCUGGCGGCGUGCCUAAUACAUGCAAGUUGAGCGCUGAAGGUUGGUACUUGUACCAACUGGGUGAGCAGCGAACGGGUGAGUAACGCGUGGGGAAUCUGCCUUUGAGCGGGGGACAACAUUUGGAAACGAAUGCUAAUACCGCAUAAAAACUUUAAACACAAGUUUUAAGUUUGAAAGAUGCAAUUGCAUCACUCAAAGAUGAUCCCGCGUUGUAUUAGCUAGUUGGUGAGGUAAAGGCUCACCAAGGCGAUGAUACAUAGCCGACCUGAGAGGGUGAUCGGCCACAUUGGGACUGAGACACGGCCCCAACUCCUACGGGAGGCAGCAGUAGGGGAUCUUCGGCCAUGGACGAAAGUCUGACCGAGCAACGCCGCGUGAGUGAAGAAGGUUUUCGGAUCGUAAAACUCUGUUGGUAGAGAAGAACGUUGGUGAGAGUGGAAAGCUCAUCAAGUGACGGUAACUACCCAGAAAGGGACGGCUAACUACGUG